rnacentral:rRNA from 1 species
AACGAACGCUGGCGGCAUGCCUAACACAUGCAAGUCGAACGAGACCUUCGGGUCUAGUGGCGCACGGGUGCGUAAGGCGUGGGAACCUGCCCUUAGGUUCGGUAUAACUCCCCGAUAGGGGUGCUAAUACCGGGUAAUGUCUUCGGACCAAAGAUUUAUCGCCUUUGGAUGGGGACGCGUUGGAGUAGGUAGUUGGUAGGGUAAAAGCCUAGCAAGGGGCCGAUCAAUAGCUGGUCUGAGAGGAGGAUCAGCCACACUGGGACUGAGACACGGCCCAGACUCCUACGGGAGGAAGCAGGGGGGAAUAUUGGAGCGUGGGCGAGAGCGUGAUCCAGCCAUGCCGCUUGAGAGAUUAAGUCCUUAGGGUUGGAAAGCUCUCUUACCCGUGAGGAUAAUGACAGUAGCGGGAGAAUAAGCGCCGGCUAACUCCGUG